GCGACUUCAGUGUCGGUGGCAACGGCAGCGAUGGUGCUUGCUGUCCCGGAAGUGGGGAACCUGGCGGUCACGGAUCUUUUGUAUCAUAACACAAUCUCUAAGAUUUGAAAAAGUGCUUUUAUUUUAAAAAAAGAUCAAUCGAAGAAGGUGGAUCGUUUGUAGACUUCAGGAAUGAUAAUUUAUUGAUCACUGAUUGAGAAGGAAACUUUGAGGGCAGAUUUUCUGCUCUUGGUGUGAAAAUACAGCACCUGCUGCUUUGCUUAAAUUCUGGUGUGUGAGGUUUCCUGUGGUUGUUGUCUGGAAGAUAUUGAACUGCAGGCAGUGGUGUUAAAGAGGAAAAACAAAACCUUCUAAAAAUGGCUGCAGUGAAUACCUGGCCGCUGUUAGAGCCGUGCCUUGUGAAACUGUCAAUAAACAAGAAGCUGUGCAAGUUAAAUGAAUAAAUUCAAGAGACUGAAAUCAGUCAAUCAGUUCUGUAUCUCCUGUUUUGAUUUACCCAUAUGAUAAAUUUCAUAUCCUGGAGAUAAAA